UACGUAGGGUGCAAGCGUUGUCCGGAAUUAUUGGGCGUAAAGAGCUCGUAGGCGGUUUGUCGCGUCUGCUGUGAAAACUCGGGGCUUAACUCCGGGCCUGCAGUGGGUACGGGCAGACUAGAGGUAGGUAGGGGAGAAUGGAAUUCCCGGUGUAGCGGUGAAAUGCGCAGAUAUCGGGAGGAACACCAGUGGCGAAGGCGGCGAUCUGGGAAGAGUACUGACGCUGAGGUGCGAAAGCGUGGGGAGCGAACGAGG
rnacentral:rRNA from 1 species